rnacentral:rRNA from 1 species
CCCUUAGAUGUUCUGGGCCGCGCGCGCGCUACACUGACACGUUCAUCAAGUCUAUAACCUUGACCGAGAGGUCUGGGUAAUCUUUUAAAAACGUGUCGUGCUGGGGAUAGAUUAUUGCAAUUAUUAAUCUUCAACGAGGAAUUCCUAGUAAACGCAAGUCAUCAACUUGCAUUGAUUACGUCCCUGCCCUUUGUACACACCGCCCGUCGCUACUACCGAUUGAAUGAUUUAGUGAGUACCAGGGACCGAGCGCUUUGGUUGGGUUUCCUUCCCUAGCGCUUGGGAACUGUCGCAAACUUGACCAUUUAGAGGAAGUAAAAGUCGUAACA